ACGUUAAAGUAUCACCUCAAGCACAUUUUCAGUUAUAGGUAAAAGUGCAAGAGGGAGAAAAAGGUGACAGCAAGAUAAGGCUGAAGCAAGAAGCAAAUGUGCUUCACGCUCAUAUAGCUUGCCAACACACUCAUAGAAAUUAGAAGAUUUUAGUGUUUGGUGAAGUAACUUACUUAGUG
rnacentral:rRNA from 1 species